ensembl:lncRNA
GGCAGUGUCAGAAUGGACCUUGAGGUUUCUGUGCAAACAAGUAGGCAGUAUCUUUCACUGAGAUAGAAAAAACUGGAAGAGGACUGAGACAGUGGGGUGGUUUGAGUGAGGAGAGGAGGAUGUGGAUGGAGAAGUGAAAGUAUAUCUUCUUCAUUAGACAUCUUGAGCUUGAAAUGCCUUACGGUCACCACGUGCAGAUGAUGAGAAGGUUCUUGGAAACCUGGGUUUGGAUGCAGCGUGGAGGUCUGGGCUGGAGAUGAAGAUGAGAAGUUGUCGAUAGAGAGAGAUGAUAAUUGUGGCUGUGGAUGAGAAGCUUGCUCAGGGAGGAGAAUGUGGAGAGAGAAGAGAGACAGCCCAGGAUGAAGUUUGAGAGUCUUACUCUGUUGCCCAGGCUGGAGUGUAAUGGCAUGAUCUUGGCUCACUGCGACCUCGGCCUCCCAGAUUCAAGCGAUUCUCCUGCCUCAGCCCCCAAGGAGCUGGGAUUACAGGUAUGUGUCACCAUGUCUGCCUAAUUUUGUAUUUUUAGUAGAGAUGGGGUUUCACCAUGUUAGCCAGGCAGUCACAAACCUCUGAUCUCAGGUGAUCCAAAUGCCUCAGCUUCCCAAAGUGCUGGGAUUACAGGCAUGGAACCACCAUGCUCGGCCUAGAUUUCUUUUCUUAAAUUUUUUUUUUUCUUUUUAGAGACAAGUGUUUUGUUCUGCUAUCUUCCUCCAGAUUAACUGGGACUACAGGCACACACUACCAUGCCCAGCUAAUUUUUAGAAACUUUUUGUAGAAACAGGAUCUUGCUUUGUUGUCCAGGCUAGUCUCUAUCUCCUGACUUCCAGUAAUCCCCCAUCUGCCUUGGCCUCCUAAAGUGCUGGGAUAAAAGGUGUGAGCCACAGAAGCCGGCCUAGAUUGUGAAAUAAGACAUUUCAAAUAAAUAAGAGCAUCUCAGUUCAUUUUCCUUCCCUUUGCCCAGAGAUAGUCACCAGCUCAUUCCCUGAAGUUGGCAUGAGUUGUUUCUAAACAUGUUUAUGCAUAUAGGCUAUACAUGUAUUCAUUCAGAAAACAUGGAAAGUGUUGCUUUGUAGCUUUAAACUUUUUGUAAAUGACAUAAUAUUGUGCAUAGCCUUCUGUAACUUGCUUGUUUUCAUUCAACGUUGUGUUUGAAAUUUAUCCACAUUUGAUGUGCAGAGCACCAGUAUACAUAUAUCCACUGUUCAAUCAAUUUCAUUGUAGGCAUGUACUACAGUUGAUCAAUCCAUUCUCCUGUUGAUGGGCAGUUGGGUGAUGUCCAGUUUUCCACAAUAAAAACUGCACUGCCGUGACCAUCCGCUUGUGUGUCUUGCAUAUGCCUGGGGAGGAAUGGCCGGGUGUGUGAGCAUCUUGGGGCUCCCUGCCAUUGCCUGGCUAUAUCUGAAAGGGCGAGUUUCUGUGGCUCCACAUCCAGACUCGAGCUGGCAAUAGUCAGAUUUUGGAAUGUUUG